UAAGGAAUAUUGGUCAAUGGAGGCAACUCUGAACCAGCCAUGCCGCGUGAAGGAUUAAGGCCCUCUGGGUUGUAAACUUCUUUUAUAUGGGAAGAAAUGUACUUUUUCUAAAGUGCUUGACGGUACCAUAGGAAUAAGCACCGGCUAACUCCGUGCCAGCAGCCGCGGUAAUACGGAGGGUGCAAGCGUUAUCCGGAUUUACUGGGUUUAAAGGGUGCGUAGGCGGAUAUGUAAGUCAGUGGUGAAAUCAACGGGCUCAACCUGUUAACUGCCAUUGAUACUGUGUAUCUUGAAUAUGAGAGAGGUAGGCGGAAUGUUGCAUGUAGCGGUGAAAUGCUUAGAUAUGCUACGGAACACCGAUUGCGAAGGCAGCUUACUAUUUCGUAAUUGACGCUGAGGCACGAAAGCGUGGGUAGCGAACA
rnacentral:rRNA from 1 species